rnacentral:rRNA from 1 species
ACUAAGCGUACACGGUGGAUGCCCUGGCAGUCAGAGGCGAUGAAGGACGUGCUAAUCUGCGAUAAGCGUCGGUAAGGUGAUAUGAACCGUUAUAACCGGCGAUUUCCGAAUGGGGAAACCCAGUGUGWUUCGWCACACUAUCAUUAACUGAAUCCAUAGGUUAAUGAGGCGAACCGGGGGAACUGAAACAUCUAAGUACCCCGAGGAAAAGAAAUCAACCGAGAUUCCCCCAGUAGCGGCGAGCGAACGGGGAGCAGCCCAGAGCCUGAAUCAGUGUGUGUGUUAGUGGAAGCGUCUGGAAAGGCGCGCGAUACAGGGUGACAGCCCCGUACACAAAAAUGCACAUAYUGUGAGCUCGAUGAGUAGGGCGGGACACGUGGUAUCCUGUCUGAAUAUGGGGGGACCAUCCUCCAAGGCUAAAUACUCCUGACUGACCGAUAGUGAACCAGUACCGUGAGGGAAAGGCGAAAAGAACCCCGGCGAGGGGAGUGAAAAAGAACCUGAAACCGUGUACGUACAAGCAGUGGGAGCCUCUUUAUGGGGUGACUGCGUACCUUUUGUAUAAUGGGUCAGCGACUUAUAUUCUGUAGCAAGGUUAACCGAAUAGGGGAGCCGAAGGGAAACCGAGUCUUAACUGGGCGUUAAGUUGCAGGGUAUAGACCCGAAACCCGGUGAUCUAGCCAUGGGCAGGUUGAAGGUUGGGUAACACUAACUGGAGGACCGAACCGACUAAUGUUGAAAAAUUAGCGGAUGACUUGUGGCUGGGGGUGAAAGGCCAAUCAAACCGGGAGAUAGCUGGUUCUCCCCGAAAGCUAUUUAGGUAGCGCCUCGUGAAUUCAUCUCCGGGGGUAGAGCACUGUUUCGGCAAGGGGGUCAUCCCGACUUACCAACCCGAUGCAAACUGCGAAUACCGGAGAAUGUUAUCACGGGAGACACACGGCGGGUGCUAACGUCCGUCGUGAAGAGGGAAACAACCCAGACCGCCAGCUAAGGUCCCAAAGUCAUGGUUAAGUGGGAAACGAUGUGGGAAGGCCCAGACAGCCAGGAUGUUGGCUUAGAAGCAGCCAUCAUUUAAAGAAAGCGUAAUAGCUCACUGGUCGAGUCGGCCUGCGCGGAAGAUGUAACGGGGCUAAACCAUGCACCGAAGCUGCGGCAGCGACACUAUGUGUUGUUGGGUAGGGGAGCGUUCUGUAAGCCUGUGAAGGUGUGCUGUGAGGUAUGCUGGAGGUAUCAGAAGUGCGAAUGCUGACAUAAGUAACGAUAAAGCGGGUGAAAAGCCCGCUCGCCGGAAGACCAAGGGUUCCUGUCCAACGUUAAUCGGGGCAGGGUGAGUCGACCCCUAAGGCGAGGCCGAAAGGCGUAGUCGAUGGGAAACAGGUUAAUAUUCCUGUACUUGGUGUUACUGCGAAGGGGGGACGGAGAAGGCUAUGUUGGCCGGGCGACGGUUGUCCCGGUUUAAGCGUGUAGGCUGGUUUUCCAGGCAAAUCCGGAAAAUCAAGGCUGAGGCGUGAUGACGAGGCACUACGGUGCUGAAGCAACAAAUGCCCUGCUUCCAGGAAAAGCCUCUAAGCAUCAGGUAACAUCAAAUCGUACCCCAAACCGACACAGGUGGUCAGGUAGAGAAUACCAAGGCGCUUGAGAGAACUCGGGUGAAGGAACUAGGCAAAAUGGUGCCGUAACUUCGGGAGAAGGCACGCUGAUAUGUAGGUGAAGUCCCUUGCGGAUGGAGCUGAAAUCAGUCGAAGAUACCAGCUGGCUGCAACUGUUUAUUAAAAACACAGCACUGUGCAAACACGAAAGUGGACGUAUACGGUGUGACGCCUGCCCGGUGCCGGAAGGUUAAUUGAUGGGGUUAGCGGUAACGCGAAGCUCUUGAUCGAAGCCCCGGUAAACGGCGGCCGUAACUAUAACGGUCCUAAGGUAGCGAAAUUCCUUGUCGGGUAAGUUCCGACCUGCACGAAUGGCGUAAUGAUGGCCAGGCUGUCUCCACCCGAGACUCAGUGAAAUUGAACUCGCUGUGAAGAUGCAGUGUACCCGCGGCAAGACGGAAAGACCCCGUGAACCUUUACUAUAGCUUGACACUGAACAUUGARCCUUGAUGUGUAGGAUAGGUGGGAGGCUUUGAAGUGUGGACGCCAGUCUGCAUGGAGCCGACCUUGAAAUACCACCCUUUAAUGUUUGAUGUUCUAACGUUGGCCCCURAUCGGGGUUGCGGACAGUGUCUGGUGGGUAGUUUGACUGGGGCGGUCUCCUCCUAAAGAGUAACGGAGGAGCACGAAGGUUGGCUAAUCCUGGUCGGACAUCAGGAGGUUAGUGCAAUGGCAUAAGCCAGCUUGACUGCGAGCGUGACGGCGCGAGCAGGUGCGAAAGCAGGUCAUAGUGAUCCGGUGGUUCUGAAUGGAAGGGCCAUCGCUCAACGGAUAAAAGGUACUCCGGGGAUAACAGGCUGAUACCGCCCAAGAGUUCAUAUCGACGGCGGUGUUUGGCACCUCGAUGUCGGCUCAUCACAUCCUGGGGCUGAAGUAGGUCCCAAGGGUAUGGCUGUUCGCCAUUUAAAGUGGUACGCGAGCUGGGUUUAGAACGUCGUGAGACAGUUCGGUCCCUAUCUGCCGUGGGCGCUGGAGAACUGAGGGGGGCUGCUCCUAGUACGAGAGGACCGGAGUGGACGCAUCACUGGUGUUCGGGUUGUCAUGCCAAUGGCACUGCCCGGUAGCUAAAUGCGGAAGAGAUAAGUGCUGAAAGCAUCUAAGCACGAAACUUGCCCCGAGAUGAGUUCUCCCUGACCCUUUAAGGGUCCUGAAGGAACGUUGAAGACGACGACGUUGAUAGGCCGGGUGUGUAAGCGCAGCGAUGCGUUGAGCUAACCGGUACUAAUGAACCUGGCGGCCUUAGC